NGGGAAUACAAAUGGCGGCCUCCUGCUCUCCAGCCCGGAGGAGGCGAGAGCCCGGGCCCCACUCCUCGGUGCGCCCUCAGAGAACAGUGCCCAGUUACUCCCAUCUGCCUGACCUCCAGCCGUGCUCCGAACUCACCGCCGGUUCAAGAGGGAGAAGCAGACUCUGCUGAGCAGAGAGCCUGAUGUGGGGCUGGAUCCCAGGACUCCAGGAUCAUGACCUGAGCCGAAGGCAAAUAGAUGUUUAACUGACUGAGCCACCCAGAGGCCCCCAUACGUGAAAUCUUAUCAUGGUGUUAAUGAUGAAAAAAGAGCUAUUAAAAUCCAUUUUUAAAAAUGUUUCCGGUAAAGGGAGAUGUUUUGCAAUAGAGGGGAGUUGUGUUUUUAUUCUAGGCCUCAGAGUAAAAAGUCUUCAUUCUGUGAGAAGACAAUUCUGACUGUAUUCUCCUAUAGUAUGUUGACAUGUGUAUCCGUCUCAGCUCAAUUUUCAAAGGCAUCUUGGUAAACCUGUUAAAGGCUGAAUUAAAAUACUCCUUCCCCACCCCCCAACUCUGCUAACGUUUUGCACUAUUUUUUAGCAGGAAUGAAGGUAAGAAUGUUCAACGAGGGCUGACUUUUAACUUUUCAUAGAUGAAGUGAGCACAGAGAUUGCAAGUCUCCAAUGACACACGAGGCUUUGACGUUCCUUCAAUUAAAAGACUUGCAAGUAU
rnacentral:lncRNA from 1 species